AGUCUCCCUAUGCUUACCACAGGCAGCGUCACCACACAUGCUGACUGUAUAGAAACGGGAGAUAGAGAAUCGAUAGCCCUGCGUAUACACCACAGCCAGGCCGACUUUCCCCUGAGCUGUAUUGUUAGUACGGGUACAAAA
ensembl:snoRNA small nucleolar RNA SNORA51